UCGGCCGCCGUUGGUUGUACGUAAUGCGCGUCGCGUUGCUCGUUGUCGUCGUCGUCGUUGCCGUUCAGCUUUCAAUUCAGUUAGUCGAUCGCCGUCGCAGUAGCAACAACAACAUGCACUAAACAAAAAGAAAAAUAAGUCUUUUUACAUCUUUUCGUUACGUUUCGUUUCGUUUUCGGUUUCUCAUGUUCUGUGUUCCAGUGCCGUGUGGCUAAGUGAGUGUUUUCUGCUCAAGAUGUUUCAAAAUCAAACAAAUGCAUCAAGCGAGUCUCAAGUGCAGCGCGUUUAAAGCCAAAAAUUGUUUGCGGAAAUUAACAAACAAAUCCCACAGCAAAACACGCAAAUUAUGAAAUGUGCGCAAAAUUCGCCAAAAAUAAUUCGAUAAAAAAUAUAUAAUCCCGGCAAAAAAUAUGUUGUAUGUGUAAAACGUGUUUUUUUUUUUGGUUUUUCUUCAGAUAAAGCAAC